rnacentral:pre_miRNA from 1 species
UGAGGCAUGAACCUGGCAUACAAUGUAGAAUUCUGUAUUUGUUAAGCAACAGCUACAUUGUCUGCUGGGUUUCAAGCUACCUGG